CUGCCCUGGCUGCAAUAGUAGGGCAACUUGUCCCUGUUUUACUCCCGCGGCUACAUCCAUAUCAAAAUAUAAAUAUUUUGUACAUGUUAUCAAUUAUCUGCAGCACUAUUCUGCUCUUGAGCUGUAUCGUGAACCUCAGCACCACUUUUUUAUGCUUUUACUGCUCUACUCAGAUUUCAUCCCUAGAAGAACAAAGAGCGAAUGUUAUGUGUAACCGCAGAAAUAUCCAAGUAGAACAGGAAACCCAUUUAACUGAGUACUGAUACAACUGGGAUGUAUAAAGAAGCUACAGCUGUAAAUGUAUUUCUGGGUAGCCGAGUUUCUAUUAGCAGACACUAGAAAUUUUUAGAGAUCACUGUGGGCAACUUGGUUCUGGGUCAUCUGGAAGAAGGUGGCUCGAGAGUUCUGUGUUCUCACCUUCUGAAAGCUUUAAAACCGUUUAAGGCACCCAGCAGAGCGCCCGGUAACAGCAGCAUUUGGAGUCGAGCAGUUGCUGUGUUGGGUAUGGUUUUACAAAACGGCUGCACUGCCCCAGAGCAGUAGCAGUUGUCCAAGAAAAGAAACCAAACUGCCUGUCAGCCACAGCAGCUUACCAUGGCUGACACGGCGAGCCUUGGAACACGAUGACCUCUGUAGAUGGCAGCCAGCAGCAAAAACCUGGUUGGACCUGCAGAGAUACAGCACAAUGAAGAGGGCUGGCACUUCGGAUUGCAACAUUACUGAAACGAAAAGCGUGAACACUACAGGAAUUUCUGCUCUAUGGAAAAAUGUUAUUUUUGGAUUCUUCAGGAAGGCGUGCGUAUAA
rnacentral:lncRNA from 1 species